CCUACGGGAGGCUGCAGAGGGGAAUAUUGGACAAUGGGGGGAACCCUGAUCCAGCCAUGCCGCAUGUGUGAAGAAGGCCCUCGGGUUGUAAAGCACUUUCAGUGAGGAAGAACGCCUGGUGGUUAAUACCCAUCAGGAAAGACAUCACUCACAGAAGAAGCACCGGCUAACUCCGUGCCAGCAGCCGCGGUAAUACGGAGGGUGCGAGCGUUAAUCGGAAUUACUGGGCGUAAAGCGCGCGUAGGUGGCUUGAUAAGCCGGUUGUGAAAGCCCCGGGCUCAACCUGGGAACGGCAUCCGGAACUGUCAAGCUAGAGUGCAGGAGAGGAAGGUAGAAUUCCCGGUGUAGCGGUGAAAUGCGUAGAGAUCGGGAGGAAUACCAGUGGCGAAGGCGGCCUUCUGGACUGACACUGACACUGAGGUGCGAAAGCGUGGGUAGCAAACAGGAUUAGAUACCCUAGUAGUC
rnacentral:rRNA from 1 species